CAGCAUUCUGGGAGAUGAAGUUUUAGGGAUUUGGCCGCGGAACGCCGAUAAGGCCGAAGUCAGCUGUGCGUGUGUGUCUCACGCCGGCCUGAACGUCGUCAGCGGCGACGACUUCGGAUUGGUCAAACUGUUCGACUUCCCCUGCACAGAGAAGUUUGCCAAACACAAGCGCUACCUCGGCCACUCGCCUCACGUGACCAACAUCCGCUUCUCCCACGAAGACAAAUACGUGAUCAGCACCGGAGGGGACGACUGCAGCGUGUUCGUGUGGAAAUGCGUGUGAGCGCCCGCCGUCCGGUGAUGCUCGUCUCCAACGCGCCUUAACAGCACCACAAGUGGAUCCGGGGGGGAAUCGAACCCUCAACCUCGCAGCGUAGUGUCUGAGGAGACAGACGCAGAUGGAGGACGCCGCGCCGUUGGAGCGACACAAAGCCGACUUCAGCACUGAGACGUUCGGAUCCUGGUCCAACGAGACGCUUUAUGGUGGCUUGUGUGAGCCUGGG